rnacentral:tRNA from 1 species
GAGGGUGUAGCUCAGCCGGUAGAGCGGGGGACUGUGGAUCCCCAUGUCGCGGGUUCGAGUCCCGUCACCCUCC